rnacentral:rRNA from 1 species
AGUGGGUAGUCCGUACGAGCGCACCUGUCCUUAUUUGCCAUCAUUUAGUUGGGUACUCUAGGGAGACUGCCGGUGACAAACCGGAGGAAGGUGGGGACGACGUCAAGUCAUCAUGGCCCUUACGACCAGGGCUACACACGUGCUACAAUGGGGCGUACAAAGGGUUGCAACCCCGCGAGGGUGAGCUAAUCCCAUAAAACGUUUCGUAGUCCGGAUCGCAGUCUGCAACUCGACUGCGUGAAGUCGGAAUCGCUAGUAAUCGUGAAUCAGAAUGUCACGGUGAAUACGUUCCCGGGCCUUGUACACACCGCCCGUCACACCAUGGGAGUGGGUUGCAAAAGAAGUGGGUAGCAUAACCUUUUGGAGUGCGCUCACCACUUUGUGAUUCAUGACUGGGGUGAAGUCGUAACAAGGUAGCCGUAGGGGAACCUGCGGCUGGAUCACCUCCUU